rnacentral:rRNA from 1 species
GAACGCUGGCGGCGUGCCUAAUACAUGCAAGUCGAACGCUUCUUUUUCCACNCGGAGCUUGCUCCACCGGAAAAAGAGGAGUGGCGAACGGGUGAGUAACACGUGGGUAACCUGCCCAUCAGAAGGGGAUAACACUUGGAAACAGGUGCUAAUACCGUAUAACAAUCAAAACCGCAUGGUUUUGAUUUGAAAGGCGCUUUCGGGUGUCGCUGAUGGAUGGACCCGCGGUGCAUUAGCUAGUUGGUGAGGUAACGGCUCACCAAGGCCACGAUGCAUAGCCGACCUGAGAGGGUGAUCGGCCACAUUGGGACUGAGACACGGCCCAAACUCCUACGGGAGGCAGCAGUAGGGAAUCUUCGGCAAUGGACGAAAGUCUGACCGAGCAACGCCGCGUGAGUGAAGAAGGUUUUCGGAUCGUAAAACUCUGUUGUUAGAGAAGAAAAAGGAUGAGAGUAACUGUUCAUCCCUUGACGGUAUCUAACCAGAAAGCCACGGCUAACUACGUGCCAGCAGCCGCGGUAAUACGUAGGUGGCAAGCGUUGUCCGGAUUUAUUGGGCGUAAAGCGAGCGCAGGCGGUUUCUUAAGUCUGAUGUGAAAGCCCCCGGCUCAACCGGGGAGGGUCAUUGGAAACUGGGAGACUUGAGUGCAGAAGAGGAGAGUGGAAUUCCAUGUGUAGCGGUGAAAUGCGUAGAUAUAUGGAGGAACACCAGUGGCGAAGGCGGCUCUCUGGUCUGUAACUGACGCUGA